rnacentral:rRNA from 1 species
CCUACGGGCGGCAGCAGUGGGGAAUAUUGCACAAUGGGGGAAACUCUGAUGCAGCGACGCCGCGUGAGUGAAGAAGUAUUUCGGUAUGUAAAGCUCUAUCAGCAGGGAAGAAAAUGACGGUACCUGAUUAAGAAGCCCCGGCUAACUACGUGCCAGCAGCCGCGGUAAUACGUAGGGGGCAAGCGUUAUCCGGAUUUACUGGGUGUAAAGGGAGCGUAGACGGCAGGACAAGUCUGGAGUGAAAUGCCGGGGCUUAACCCCGGAACUGCUUUGGAAACUGUGCAGCUAGAGUACAGGAGAGGUAGGUGGAAUUCCUGGUGUAGCGGUGAAAUGCGUAGAUAUUAGGAAGAACACCAGUGGCGAAGGCAGCUUACUGAACUGUAACUGACGUUGAGGCUCGAAAGCGUGGGGAGCAAACAGGAUUAGAUACCCGUGUAGUC